rnacentral:RNase_P_RNA from 1 species
GGGCUCAGGUAAGGGUGAAAGAGUGCGGUAAGAGCGCACCGCGCGUCUGGCAACAGUUCGCGGCACGGUAAACUCCACCCGGAGCAAGGCCAAAUAGGGGUUCACAAGGUACGGCCCGUACUGAACCCGGGUAGGCUGCUUGAGCCAGUGAGCGAUUGCUGGCCUAGAUGAAUGACUGUCCACGACAGAACCCGGCUUACCGGUCAGCUUCACAC